rfam:Equus caballus chromosome 7, whole genome shotgun sequence.
UUAACUUGUUAAUCAUAAAAAUUGCUCUUCAAGAAGUACACUGGAAACAUCCGGAUGUGGAGUUAUAACUCAAAAUGAAAGCAGAACAGCUUCUCUUAAAAGAAGUGAAACUCUUAAUUCAAACUUACUGGAUAGCUAUAAUGAAAGCGAAAAUGCUGGCAGCUAUAGAUAUUGGGAAGUCUUUGCAUUUGGAUGUUAUCACUGACCAUCUGG